rnacentral:lncRNA from 1 species
CUCUGACUUCCAGGGAGGAGCCGCCAGCUGCCAAUGAUUUAAUCAAUCAUGCCUUCAUAAGGAAGCCUUCCUAAAAACCCAGGAGAGGAUUCGGAGAGCUUCCAGGUUGACGAGCACGUGGAGAUUUGGGGCAAGUAGUGUCUGGAGAAGGCAUGGAAGCUCUGAACACUUCCCACAUACCUUGCCCUAUGCAUCUCUUCCAUCUGGCUGUUCCCGCAUUACAGCCUUUUGUGAUAAGCCAGUGAUCUAGAGUUUUCAGAGCCUUUUCCAGAUUAUUGUUCUUUAUGAAUAUUCGGGAGAGGGUGCUAGUGCACAGCUUUUCUAAGGAUGCUCUUUGGCAAGUAGCUUCACAAUCUGCAGCAUAGAGCAGAUGACUGAGUUGCCAGAAGACCUGACCAUUGGAAAAGUGAGAACGUUAAUGGAGAGAGAAAAACUAAUACAUGGAAAUUCUUUCCCCAUUCAAAUUGGCACAUGUCUUUCUUUCUAGGAAAGUCUAUGGGGCUCACCUUUUUUAUGAAGUUAAAGUCUGUGGAAAUACGAUCAAAGACAAGAAGUUACAGUUUCAAAGCGCCACCAAUUUCAAAUUCCACAGACAUGUACGCAGGCCCCUCUGGAGAAUGUUGCCAUCUCAUGUUAUAUGCGAGUCUGGGAAAAUUACUAUACUCCCACACUGUAUACUUUGAAUAAAGAUUUGUAUUCCUUAUGCAAAAAUAUACAAAUAUGGAAUAUAUUGGAGACACAAUAUCAUUAGCUUUCAGGGGGGAAGAAUCAUUUAUUGCCUACUUUUGGGGAUUUUAUUUAAAGCACACUGUUCUUUACACAGUACUUUACAGUUUAUAAAGCCUUUUUACAAUUGGUAUUUCAUUUGCUCUUCCCAACCUCGUGUAAAGAAAUGUGGGGCAAAUAUUGCUACCCCAUUUUACAAGCAAGCAAAUGGAGAUAGCUGGAGACCAUCUGUGCUUCUCCUAAUAUGGUGAUCCUGCUGUCCCACAUUGCUACGUGCAUAAGGCCAUCCUGCAGUAUUGAGUGGCAAUCUGAGAGCAAAAUAAAAAUGGAAGUAAAUUCAUUUUCCUUGUCUGUUCUGGAACCUCACAAUUACACUCUUUGCUCAGGGCAUAAUUAAAAAGACAAACCUGUGUCUGAACUAUUCUUCCAGUAUAUACUCUGCACUGAAAUAUCUUUAGAAUAAAGUCAAUAAAUAAAAGAAGUUAAACCAUGCUUCUCUGGUAGGUGAGGAGGUGGGGGGCUCUGGGCCUACCUGCUCAUCUCUCCUCUCCCCUUCCUGGCCCCCUCACAUUCUUCCUCUUCUGCUCACCUUUGAAGCACAGUUCGAGAAUCACUCUCUUCAAAAGUAGAUUCCGUGUGUCCUUGGAAAUGUCUAAAUUGAGGCUCUAUUGUAAUAAGUCACAACCUGUUACUGGGAUUCAAAGAGAAAAUGAAUUCAAGUGAGUGAGAACAAAGUCAUUUGCCCAGGAACCCACUGUGAAGGAUGGAGAGCAUUAAAAUUCAAAAAUGAUUUGCAAGUUAAAAAUUCACUCCUGAGCUAAAAUAGGGCAUCUGUUUAAGUCUUUCUCAACUGCUGCUUAUUCUGUCAAUAAGGUUCACUUUUUUUUUUUUGCGUGUUAUCUUUAUAUACUUCUGUGUG